UGUAGUAAUCAUGAUUUGUAUGUCCAAAGUGUCGGUGCUUCUGUGUAUUUAAUGGAUUUUUUAUUUACAUUUCAGACGAUGACGUAGAUGGCGAGAGAGUGGAUUGCAUACCCACAGAGAGUAUGAUCGGGUAUCUCUGACAAGUCUGACCAAAAGCUGUUAAAGUUCAGACUUCACACUCUGCUACAAGGAGGUCACCCUUAAUUUGGAAGCAGUCAAGCCAGAACAACAAACAUGUGUCCCAUACAAACCAGAGGUGGGAACCUACUUGCCACAGACUGCCUUGCAGAACCGGUCCAAAAGGAACAACAGUACCGCAACAACAUAAUGAGGAGUCUAUAUGAAAUGCAGUGUACAAUUUGUGCGAUGAGGUCGAUGCUAUGCAACCCUUUGCAGUCAACAAUUGCCACCGCUUCAGUGAAAACUUCACAUUUGGAUUUGUCACUGAAAAAAACCCACAUGGAUGAAAGAG